rnacentral:rRNA from 1 species
AACGAACGUUGGCGGCGUGGAUUAGGCAUGCAAGUCGCGGGAAUCCCAGCAAUGGGGGAACCGGCGUAAGGGGCAGUAAUGCGUGGGUACUUACCCCGGGGUCCGGGAUAGCCGUCCGAGAGGGCGGGUAAUACCGGAUGACCUCGGGAGAGCAAAGCUCCGGCGCCCCGGGAGGGGCCCACGUGAUAUUAGCUAGUUGGUGAGGUGACGGCUCACCAAGGCGGAGAUGUCUAGCGGGUGUGAGAGCACGACCCGCGCCACUCGCACUGGGACACUGGCGAGACACCGACGGGUGGCUGCGGUCGAGGAUCUUCGGCAAUGCGCGCAAGCGCGACCGGGCGACGCCGCGUGGGCGAUGAAGGCCUUCGGGUUGUAAAGCCCUGUCGAGGGGGAGAAAAGCGGGAAACCGUGUGAUCUAUCCCUGGAGGAAGCUCGGGCUAAGUUCGUGCCAGCAGCCGCCGUAACAC